AGUGAACGCUGGCGGUAGGCCUAACACAUGCAAGUCGAACGGCAGCACAGUAAGAGCUUGCUCUUACGGGUGGCGAGUGGCGGACGGGUGAGGAAUACAUCGGAAUCUACUUUUUCGUGGGGGAUAACGUAGGGAAACUUACGCUAAUACCGCAUACGACCUACGGGUGAAAGCAGGGGAUCUUCGGACCUUGCGCGAUUGAAUGAGCCGAUGUCGGAUUAGCUAGUUGGCGGGGUAAAGGCCCACCAAGGCGACGAUCCGUAGCUGGUCUGAGAGGAUGAUCAGCCACACUGGAACUGAGACACGGUCCAGACUCCUACGGGAGGCAGCAGUGGGAAAUAUUGGACAAUGGGCGCAAGCCUGAUCCAGCCAUACCGCGUGGAUGAAGAAGGCCUUCGGGUUGUAAAGCCCUUUUGUUGGGAAAGAAAAGCAGCAGGUUAAUACCCCGCUGUUCUGACGGUACCCAAAGAAUAAGCACCGGCUAACUUCGUG
rnacentral:rRNA from 1 species